UACGAAGGGGGCUAGCGUUGUUCGGAGUUACUGGGCGUAAAGGGCGCGUAGGCGGUGUGUCAAGUCAGGCGUGAAAGCCCCGGGCUCAACCUGGGAACAGCGCUUGAGACUGGCACGCUCGAGUUCGGGAGAGGAUGGUGGAAUUCCCAGUGUAGAGGUGAAAUUCGUAGAUAUUGGGAAGAACACCGAUGGCGAAGGCAGCCAUCUGGACCGACACUGACGCUGAGGCGCGAAAGCGUGGGGAGCAAACAGG
rnacentral:rRNA from 1 species